rnacentral:rRNA from 1 species
AAUAGAUACCGGGUAGUCCACGCCGUAAACGAUGAGUGCUAAGUGUUAGAGGGUUUCCGCCCUUUAGUACUGCAGCUAACGCAUUAAGCACUCCGCCUGGGGAGUACGGCCGCAAGGCUGAAACUCAAAGGAAUUGACGGGGGGCCCGCACAAGCGGUGGAGCAUGUGGUUUAAUUCGAAGCAACGCGAAGAACCUUACCAGGUCUUGACAUCCUCUGCCAACCCUAGAGAUAGGGCGUUCCCCUUCGGGGGACAGAGUGACAGGUGGUGCAUGGUUGUCGUCAGCUCGUGUCGUGAGAUGUUGGGUUAAGUCCCGCAACGAGCGCAACCCUUGAUCUUAGUUGCCAGCAUUCAGUUGGGCACUCUAAGGUGACUGCCGGUGACAAACCGGAGGAAGGUGGGGAUGACGUCAAAUCAUCAUGCCCCUUAUGACCUGGGCUACACACGUGCUACAAUGGAUGGUACAAAGAGCUGCGAACCCGCGAGGGUAAGCCAAUCUCAUAAAGCCAUUCUCAGUUCGGA